CUGGCGACCUUAUCCAGAUGAACGCAUAUCGAUCUCUUCUCCCGUGUCAUUAUCGGCGGCGGCGACGGCGACGAUGGCGGCUUGCAUCGUGGUUGGGGGCGUGAUAUUGGCCGCAAAAGAAGAGCUCGCUCGACGGCGUCCUCCACUGCAGUACGUGGUUCCUCUUCUCACCGGCCAACGGCCUCAACAUCAAUGACCAGGUCGUCGGCUUCACCUGCAGCGCAGCUACUUGAAGAGCGCCAUGCAAGAGAACAACGACGCCCAGUUUUUCCCACUCGACGUAGGAGUCUAAUCCGAGUUCUUCCAACCCAUAAGCAGCUGGUUUGGAAGCCCACUAAUCAAGUAAUACUAGGUUUGUGUGACUGAGGAGCAACUCCAUGCGAUGUACAGAAGCAUAUCUGCAGUUUCCCGGAAGACAUAAUCCUUCUUUUCUCCAUUUUUUUGUAGCAUUUAAAACUUUUUGAAGAUGUAAAAAUAGUUGCAUAGUCCAGUUUUCUUGAUCAGUAUAAAUGUUUCUGCUAUAUGCAAAUUUCUGUACAACGAGUGCAUCUUUUAAGCAUGUUCUGCUAGAUAGACCAAUACUUCUAUCUGAAGUAGUAUACACUUCUUUGGCAAUAUUAAUAUGUAUUUCUUUGGUUACAAGCACUGUAUAGUUCUUCGAAU